rnacentral:rRNA from 1 species
CCUACGGGAGGCAGCAGUGGGGAAUAUUGGGCAAUGGAGGCAACUCUGACCCAGCAACGCCGCGUGAGCGAUGAAGGUCUUCGGAUUGUAAAGCUCUUUAAGCGGGGACGAAGAAAGUGACUGUACCCGCAGAAUAAGCCUCGGCUAACUACGUGACAGCAGCCGCGGUAAUACGUAGGAGGCAAGCGUUAGCCGGAAUGACUGGGCGUAAAGGGUGCGUAGGCGGAAUGCCAAGUCAGCGGUAAAAUCGCGGGGCUCAACCUCGCUCCGCCGUUGAAACUGGCGUUCUUGAGUGGGCGAGAAGUAUGCGGAAUGCGUGGUGUAGCGGUGAAAUGCAUAGAUAUCACGCAGAACUCCGAUGGCGAAGGCAGCAUACCGGCGCCCAACUGACGCUGAAGCACGAAAGCGUGGGUAUCGAACAGGAUUAGAUACCCGGGUAGUC